rnacentral:rRNA from 1 species
AACGCGAAGAACCUUACCUGGGCUCGAAAUGCUGUGGACCAGCUUAUGAAAGUAGGCCUUCCCGCAAGGGACCGCAGUAUAGGUGCUGCAUGGCUGUCGUCAGCUCGUGUCGUGAGAUGUUGGGUUAAGUCCCGCAACGAGCGCAACCCUUGUCCUGUGUUGCCAUACCGAAAGGUGGAACUCGCAGGAGACCGCCAGGGAUAACCUGGAGGAAGGUGGGGAUGACGUCAAGUCCUCAUGGCCUUUAUGUCCAGGGCUACACACGUGCUACAAUGGACGGUACAAAGGGCUGCCAACCCGCGAGGGGGAGCCAAUCCCAAAAAACCGUUCUCAGUUCGGAUUGCAGGCUGCAACUCGCCUGCAUGAAGCUGGAAUCGCUAGUAAUGGUGGAUCAGAACGCCACCGUGAAUACGUUCCCGGGCCUUGUA